UUAAUUUGGAUAUAUAGAAUGAAAUCUACAAUAGCUGACAAAAUAGGUCAUGCAUUACUUUUUUUUUUUUUUGGGCAGUAUCAAUUUAUUAGUAAGAAAGAAGUGAACUGCUGCCCAGCACAAAAUUGCAGGACUGCUGACCAGUCACAAACUAACUAUGCAAUUCUAACACAAAGCUACCGAUCAGUAUAACUAAGCUAAACAGAACACUUGCAUAGAAAAGCCCCACUCUGGACAAAACUCCCAACCGGCCUUAGUCCUUGGAAUCCUCCUCCAGCUGGUACUGCUGCAUGAACCAAUUUGGAAAUAGAAAUUACUUAGUCUAUGAUAGCUGAAAAAAUAGUACAGUUUGUCAAUGUUGUAAAAAUUAAUCUAAAAGAUUGAAAUCAACUGCACUUAAAAAUCUAAAUACGUCAUACCAUUUGUAAUAAAAAUAAUCCUCUUAUUGUGAUCAAAGAACGACGUCUUCAUCAAAGAAAGAAAGAUAAAUCAUGAUGAUUGGUCAUGAACAUGGAAACUCCACCCUUGCAUAUUGAAUACUUAAAACGUGCACCAAUUUGAGCAAUAAGCAACAUUUGAUUACGGCUUCCCAGGCUACCUUGAAGAAUGGCUGAUUUGACUAUCUGUUUGGGCAACGUGUGAAACAAUUUCUCAAAACCGUGAUCAUUUUUGUUUUCCUCUUGGCUUGAAGAGUUUGCUUUUGGGAAGUUGGAUAUAUAAUUCUUCCAUUUGAAGGUCAGAGAUCAGAAUGGUGGUUAACGUAUAUUGUAGAUGCAUACGUGGAUAAUUUUUGCUAGUUGGCAAGAAGUCAACUGUGAAGAAGCUAGAUAUGUACUCACUCAUAAAUGUUUUUUCCAGGAGAGAAAAAAAUAAAGUAAAAUUUAUAAAAGAAUUAUUCAAUUUAUG
rnacentral:lncRNA from 1 species